rnacentral:lncRNA from 1 species
CAGCCCGUUCCAAAAUAUUACAUUCGUGGCUGUGAAUGGACGAAAUUGCCCUUAUGAAAUACUAAGUAUGUGAAGCUCAAGUUGAUAAUUAUCUAGGUUCCUAAGUUUUGAAAAUAAAAUGGAAUUAUAAGGAUGAAACUUAGAUUUUUAGGUUAAAAUUGUGGUUUGGAGUUGGAUUGGAAAAGGACCACAUGGGAUCCCCACACCCUCAAUCCUCUCCCUAUUUUCUGCAUACUGUCUCUCUCGUCUCCUACCCUCACGAAUCUCCUCUCUCUCUCUGUCACUCUUCUUCUCCGUUCGACAAACCAACCACAAAACAACCUUAAACUUCCACCAACGACGGAGUUAAGACCACCAUCAAACUCUUGGAACCUCCACGAUCACGAUGGUUAUCCAUUUCAGGUAAGUUUGCUUCGGAAAACCCUAGUUUUCAAAUUACCCGUGAAAUGGCACUGUUCAUAAACUCUUAAAUGGUGGUGUUUAGCUUAAAAACAAGAUCACAGUGAGCUUUAGGAUGUCCCAAGGAAGCUCGGAGUGCUUCGUUGGAAAGUUUUCGGACGUAAGAACACGGAGAUCGACAAGUUUCAAAGUUUGGCCGGAGCUUUCGAGGCGUUUUCCGGCGAAUCCCCGGCGAUUUAGGAGCGAGGUAGGUAUUAAUCUCUUCGUCUCAUCAAGUAACUACAACUUUCCUUUUUUGUUUCACUCAAUUUCGUUGAGUAUUGAAGAAGUUAUACUCAUUUGAAAAAUACCCAGUUUCCGGCGACCUCCGAGGCUUUCGAGGCAGUUUCCGGCCAAACCACGGCGAACUAGGUAUUGUGCAAGGUACCAUUCCUUUGUCUCUUCAAGGGCUACAACUGUUCGUUUUUGAAUCACUUGAUUCGUUGAGAAAUGACAAAGUUAUGGCAAUUUUGAAAAACUGCCCAGAAAACGGCCGCCGGAAAAACCAGUCCGGCGACCCAAGGAAGAAGAAGGUGCUACAGUAAAAAAAAAAUAAAAAUAAAAUUAUUUUAAAAAUAUGUCGACGUCCGUGACGUCGAGUAGAUCACUGUGGUAUAUUCAUAUACCUAAAUUGAAACACCGUAUGAGAAAGUUAUUGAAGAUUGUUGGUUAGGUGUUCAAAUAACGUUUUAUAGUUUUCACAUUUAGGUGAAAAUGUGAAUUGAUGAUCCGACCGUUGGAUCAUCACCAAAAUUUGAUACGUUAUAGUACGUAAUAUUUGAGGAUUAUUGGAACUUACGGAUUGGUAAUCCGAGUUACGGAUCUUCCGGAAUUGGAAUUGUAAGUCCAUAAUAUAAAAAUGUUAAACCGUCACUUAGUUUUGGAAAUUGACGGAGAUCCGACCGUUGGAUGGUAAUGAAAUUUUAGGAUGUUAUCCUAGAGAUAUAUUGUGGACCUCUGGAAGUUAUGGAUUUAAAAUCUGAGUGGCAGAUCUUCCGGAUCGAUCAACAUAGUGACGUAUUUAUAUAAGUUAUAUUCUAUCGAUAUGAAUUCUGAGGUUGGAAUUAAUUAUUGUUUUAGGCGCCGAUCGUCAUGACGCCUUGAUGUGUGGUGCUAGGGAGUUGUAGGGCGAACUCCAGGUGAGUGGGCAGUUUUGUUUUCCGUAUAUAUAUAUACUUGACGUUUCCCAGAAAUUGAAUUGAAAUGAAAAUAUGUUUUAAAAUGAAAUGCAUAUAUGAGUUAUGUGGAAAAACGGGAAGUGAAAUACCAUGCAUAGAAUUGAUAUGAAAAGUAUAUAGAAAUGUGAGUUGAAAUGCCAUGCAUGAAUUAAUAUAUGAUGCAUAUGUAUGAAUUGGUGCGGUGGACGCACAAGUAAGAAUUGAUUUAUGAUGCAUAUGUAUGAAUUGGUGCGGUGGACGCACAUGUAAGAAUUGAUUUAUGAUGCAUAUGUAUGAAAUGGUGCGGUGGACGCACAGAUGAGUAUUUAAUUACUGUUAUGAUGAUGAUGAUAUAUAUUGAGCUCAAAUCCUGCACCAUGGUUUAGUGCUUAUAGUAUUCACCGCAUCGCACGCUCGCCUUGGAUCCAAGUAGAUGCUAGUCGUACAGUCCACGCGGAGUGGGUACGACAGACCAGUCGCGAGAGUGUUAGUGAGAUUCCGACUGGUGGGUGACCUUAGAUUAUGUGCACAGAUGAUUUAUGAGAAGCACUAGAGCGUAACUUGUGUGCAGAAGGCCGGACGGGUCACAGAGGUGACUCCGGUAGAGUGAUAAUGAUAGAUUUUGAGCUCUAGGUUCAACCGUAUAGGGCUAUUAGAGGGCCUACGGUUGAUUACUUUCUUGCACCUGAUAUGAUUAUGUUGAUGCAUUCAUACCUUAUUACUGUUGAGAUGAUGUGGCAUGGCAAUAAUUAAUAUGAGAAAUGUUGAGAUGACAUGGCAUGGCAUGAUUGAUAAAGAGAUAAUGUUGAGAUAGUAAAAAUGAAGUUUUUGAGAAUAUAUAUGUAUAUUUAUAUUUUACAUUUCUGGGAAAGUAUAUACAGGUUUUACGGAGAGGGGUUACAACGUUUUGAGAAAUGUUUGGAUUUGGAAAAGAAUUGUUUUACUGACCCACUCAAUUUUGGUUUUGCGCCCCUCCAGGUUCAGGAAUCACAAAGGUGUGGUGACUACGAGGAAUUCGACGGUGUUCUGACAGAUUGGACAAAAUUAGGACUCACCUUCGGGUGUAUCAACUUAUAAAUUGUAUAAUUAAAGCUUCCGUACUGUGCAAAUGGUUACGUCACUCUCACGUGACGGCCAGCAUGCCCUCCUUCGGGACCGGGUGUGUCAGUUGGUAUCAGAGCAUGGUUGCAAUCUUGGACAUCUUGAGAAGUUUCUAGUGAAUUCUGUCAGAACUACACCGCCUCGUAGCAAACCACGUAGUUAGAGGAACUUAGUCUCCUUGAUUUAGCGGGUUAGGGGAAACUAUUCUUAUGGUGAUUCAGUAUAUUAGAAAAAUGGACAUUUUAAGACGGGUUAUGAGUUGAAUUUGAAUCACUUAAGAGAAAUGAUGAACCUGAGGGAACAAAGUGACGGAUUAACCAAUUGGAAAAGAUGUUUCGGAAUAUGCAAGUCAAAGGAAUCUUCCUUCUGACAAGGGGUCGAGACGACUACCUGGUUUUGGUUAUGAAUUUGUAUCCUGGUGGAAACAGGAGUAUGAAUUGUUGUCACCAGAGGAAUCAGUCGAUUGAGAAUUGUUUAAGGACUUGUUUAAAGGAAAAGUUUAUCCCUCCGGCAUUUAUCGAUGGUAGUAAACAAGAGUUUACAAAUAUGAGACAAGGAAGGUGAUGAUCGAGGGAUAUUAUAGAAAGUUUUCAGACUAGCCUCGUUCCAUCCAGAUAUUGUUGUUAAUUUGGUGGAGGUGUUAUGUUGUUUUAAGCUGGGUGACAAAAGGGAAGUGGUAUUUUGGGUGACCACUAUCCAUUGUAGUUCUUAUCAGGAGUAUGCUAGAUGUUGUUGAAUCUUGAGGACUCUGAGAACAUGAGCAACGAGAAUAAAGAAGAAUAAGAAAUGAAUGGGAAUUAAAAGAAGACGAUAAAGUUAAUGAUUCGUCAUAUCAAGGAUAUAGAAAGAUUCAGAGCUUCGAAAGAAGUGAAGCUAGAGUUAAUUCUUCCAGCUGAGGUUUAAUGUCGCUGGUCAGAAUAAAAGUGAUGGAUAUACUGGUAAUCCCAGAUAUUUGAGACAAGGUGUCUCGAGUAAAGGAAAUGUACCUUGUGCAGCAGGUACAAAAUUAACACUUUGGGAAAUGUGAAAUUAAUGAAUGUGUUUAUGUGAACAGAAGGGACACAGAGUUGUGAAUCGUCCCUAGAAUCAGUUGUACUCAACAAUUUUCCAUGAAAUCAUAGUGUCGAUUCAGCAGAGUUAUGGAUUUAGUAGUUUGGUCGGAUUGACCGUGAGUACAGAGAUAUUUGAUGAGUUAUAUGUUCAGCCGUACGGACCAUGAGAAAUGGAUUUGACUGACACAUGAGAAAUUGGUGAGUUAUAGGCUCGGCCGUGCCGACCACGCGGAGUGGAUCUGGCCGACGUAUUAUUGAGAUAAGAGUUGAAUCAACCGUAUUGGUUAUUCUAGUUGACUUCGGCUGAUAUAUUUCUUAUUAUGUAUGUUAUUACCUAGAGAGUAGUAAAUAAAUGUAGUUGAGACGAGUGUAUGUAUUUUGCAUUGAGUGACAAAAUAGUAAUGUUAUAUCUUUGUGAGUGGUUGCCUACUUAUCGAGACAACGAUGAUUUAUCAGUAUUGCGGGCUGCAGACCGUAAUAUUAAUAACUCAUUCGUGGAUUCGUUAAGCAAGCAAACCGGUAGAUUAUUUUAUGUUAGUAUUGUACUUAUUUGGAAUGCUUAAUAAUAAUAGAAUAUAUAUUGUAUCAGUUAAUUCUGUUCCAUUAGAUUGGUUGGUUAUAAUUGUGACAAGACGAAAUGUUAUGGGAAACCAGUACUUUCCAUCGAUCUGGAUGAACAGAGAUUACUUUUGUAAGUAUGCAAAAUGGAUUGAGUCAGGCUGUUAUUUAUGCUGUGAGAGCAAAGAGAUUGUUUUCGAAAGGCUGUCAAAAAUACUUAGCUCAUGUGGUGCUAAAUGAUGUUGUUUGGAGUAGUGUGAAUAAUGUCAAAAGAGUUCUUGCGGGCCCUGAGACUAUGGAUGAGUCUCCUCAAAGUAUUCAGGUGAUUAAGUUAACCUGAAGUAACCAGGAAUGGCAAAAGAGAUAAUGGCAAAAGAGAUAAUGGCAAAAGAGACUAACAGAUGGAUAUGCCACUAAUCGAGUGUGUAAGGGAAAUGGUUUGAUAUUUUUGGAAAUUUCACCACGAACAGAAAUGGCGAGAAUUGGAAAGGAGACAAGAUAAGAUUUAGACACAUCAGACCAUUUUUUAUCACUAAAGGAAUCAAUAAAGUUGCAUACAAGUGGUGAUGUCUUCAGAGUUGGCUAAGGUACUUAAUGUAUUUUGGGUUCGAUGCGUUGUCACUAGGUGGCAGAGUCGUUACAUGGGACCUUGGUGCAACUAUUGAGAAUUAAGCCGGAUCUGAUUGGUGAGGAACUAAUGUCGACUUUGGAUUGGAAAAAGAAGGUCCUAAGAAUUAAGACAGAGUAAGUAGUAAAAGCUUUGUGAAGGAAAUCAUUCAGUAGAAAAUUGUGUGGGAGAAAGAGAAUCGGAUGAGAGAGAUUUAUCCGAGGCUAUUGUAUGAGUAUAGAUGAUUUAGUUGGUUGCUGGAAUUUCGGGGACGAAAUUCUAUAAGGAGGGAAGAUUGUCACAGCCCGUUCCAAAAUAUUACAUUCGUGGCUGUGAAUGGACGAAAUUGCCCUUAUGAAAUACUAAGUAUGUGAAGCUCAAGUUGAUAAUUAUCUAGGUUCCUAAGUUUUGAAAAUAAAAUGGAAUUUAAUAAGGAUGAAACUUAGAUUUUUUAGGUUAAAAUUGUGUGGUUUGGAGUUGGGGAUUGGAAAAGGACCACAUGGGAUCCCCACACCCCUCAAUCCUCUCCCUAUUUUCUGCAUACUGUCUCUCUCUCUCCUCCCUCACGAAUCUCUCUCUCUCUCUGUCACUCUUCUUCUCCGUUCGAACAAACCAACCACAAAACAACCUUAAACUUCCACCAACGACGGAGUUAAGACCACCAUCAAACUCUUGGAACCUCCACGAUCACGAUGGUAUCCAUUUCAGGUAAGUUUUGCUUCGGAAAACCCUAGUUUUCAAAGUACCCGUGAAAUGGCACUGUUCAUAAACUCUUAAAUGGUGGUGUUUUAGCUUAAAACAAGAUCACAGUGAGCUUUAGGAUGUCCCAAGGAAGCUCGGAGUGCUUCGUUGGAAGUUUUCGGACGUAAGAACACGGAGAUCGACAAGUUCAAAGUUUGGCCGGAGCUUUCGAGGCGUUUUCCGGCGAAUCCCCGGCGAUUUAGGAGUCGAGGUAGGUAUUAAUCUCUUCGUCUCAUCAAGUACUACAACUUUCCUUUUUGUUUCACUCAAUUUCGUUGAGUAUUGAAGAAGUUAUACUCAUUUGAAAAAUACCCAGUUUCCGGCGACCUCCGAGGCUUUCGAGGCAGUUUCCGGCCAAACCACGGCGAACUAGGUAUUGUGCAAGGUACCAUUCUCUUUGUCUCUUCAAGGGCUACAACUUUCGUUUUUGAAUCACUUGAUUUCGUUGAGAAAUGACAAAGUUAUGGCAAUUUGAAAAACUGCCCAGAAAACGGCCGCCGGAAAAACCAGUCCGGCGACCCAAGGAAGAAGAAGGUGCUACAGUAAAAAAAAAUAAAAAUAAAAUUAUUUUAAAAAUAUGUCGACGUCCGUGACGUCGAGUAGAUCACUGUGGUAUAUUCAUAUACCUAAAUUGAACACCGUAUGAGAAAGUUAUUGAAGAUUGUUGGUUAGGUGUUCAAAUAACGUUUUAUAGUUUUCACAUUUAG